rnacentral:rRNA from 1 species
UACAGGGGUCUCAAGCGUUGUUCGGAUUCAUUGGGCGUAAAGGGUGCGUAGGUGGCGCGGUAAGUCGGGUGUGAAAUUUCGGAGCUUAACUCCGAAACUGCAUUCGAUACUGCCGUGCUUGAGGACUGGAGAGGAGACUGGAAUUUACGGUGUAGCAGUGAAAUGCGUAGAGAUCGUAAGGAAGACCAGUGGCGAAGGCGGGUCUCUGGACAGUUCCUGACGCUGAGGCACGAAGGCCAGGGGAGCAAACGGGG